rnacentral:rRNA from 1 species
UUAGCGGCGGACGGGUGAGUAACACGUGAGUAACCUGCCUUUACACAGGGAUAGCCUCGGGAAACCGGGAUUAAAACCUGAUGAAACUAUCAAAUCACAUGAUUAAGAAAGUUAAAACUCCGGUGGUAAAAGAUGGACUCGCGUCCCAUUAGCUAGUUGGUGAAGGUAACGGCCCACCAAGGCAACGAUGGGUAGCCGGCCUGAGAGGGUGAACGGCCACAUUGGAACUGAGAAAAAGGUCCAAACUCCUACGGGAGGCAGCAGCG